UCGUCUCCGUUUCUACGAAGUCGUUAAAAAAAUUUCCACCGUUGCGUUCACAUCCCGCCGGUAAAGUCCAGUCAACUUCACUCCAGCAGUGCCUGAUGAGGCGCUCGUUUGUUUGGUUAGCAAGAGAUUCGUAUGCUGAUGGCUGGAACCGGGAAUCGUGCGUGUUCGAUUGGAACAAUUUGACGUCGUAUCGAUUUCGUGUGAAUCUCAACUGCGAAGAUCCAGAAUCUAUUUAUUGGAGAAGAAGAAACAGUGGACAAUAAUGGAGUUGUGUCUCUUUGUGAGUUUGGGAGCGAUAGUUUGUGAUCGCUAGGUGGACGACGCUUCGACUCGGUUAAACCAGCAAGAAAAGUUGGCUUAGUCCGGUUUGUAUUCAGUGACAAGACUGUGGUUAUGUUUAUGUUACGGAGUUCGGCUGCAGGAGUGGUGAAUUAGUAAAAGCUUACUUGAAGGAAUGAUGUUCAGUAUUUAGUGCUAUGCUACUGGUCAUUCAAG